CACGCCCUAAACGAUGCGAACUGGAUGUUGGGGGCAUUUGGGCCUUCAGUAUCGAAGCUAACGCGUUAAGUUCGCCGCCUGGGGAGUACGGUCGCAAGACUGAAACUCAAAGGAAUUGACGGGGGCCCGCACAAGCGGUGGAGUAUGUGGUUUAAUUCGAUGCAACGCGCAGAACCUUACCUGGCCUUGACAUCCACGGAACCCUGCAGAGAUGCGGGGGUGCCUUCGGGAACCGUGAGACAGGUGC
rnacentral:rRNA from 1 species